rnacentral:hammerhead_ribozyme from 1 species
AUCCAGCUGACGAGUAACCAAAAUAGGACGAAAUGCGCAUCCUGGAU